UACAGAGGGGGCAAGCGUUGUUCGGAAUUACUGGGCGUAAAGGGCGCGUAGGCGGCCUGCUAAGUCGAACGUGAAAUCCCUGGGCUCAACCCAGGAACUGCGUCCGAUACUGGUUGGCUUGAAUCCGGGAGAGGGAUGUGGAAUUCCAGGUGUAGCGGUGAAAUGACGUAGAUAUCUGGAGGAACACCGGUGGCGAAGGCGACAUCCUGGACCGGUAUUGACGCUGAGGCGACGAAAGCCAGGGGAGCAAGCGGG
rnacentral:rRNA from 1 species